rnacentral:lncRNA from 1 species
CGGGGAAAUUAUAUGUCGGAAGCUAUAAGGACCAAUCCCUAACAAGGGAUAACAGCCGAAAAGGACCGGGUAGCUGUUGAAUGAGGAUUAUUGAAAGGACAAGGAAGAAGCAGCCAUGAACAGCUUGUGCUAAUGGAUUAACUAUGCCACUCUCUGUCUCUAAAGAAGGCCAUGAUGCUCAGGAUUCUCUUUCAGGUCUGUGUAUACAUGAAUUGGGAUUAAAACAUGUUUGCAUUGUCUUGGAUUAACUGACAAAGUACUGUCUUGGAUUAACACACAAAGAGUUUCUUGGAUUAAUUGACAACAUUUUCACAACUGUCUGCAAAGAAUAUUUUAAAUUUGAUAUUAUAUGCGGU